rnacentral:rRNA from 1 species
CGAAAGCCUGACGGAGCAACGCCGCGUGAGGGAUGAAGGCCUCUGGGCUGUAAACCUCUUUUCUCAAGGAAGAAGAUCUGACGGUACUUGAGGAAUAAGCCACGGCUAAUUCCGUGCCAGCAGCCGCGGUAAUACGGGAGUGGCAAGCGUUAUCCGGAAUCAUUGGGCGUAAAGCGUCCGCAGGCGGCCUUGUAAGUCUGUCGUUAAAGCGUGGAGCUUAACUCCAUUUCAGCGAUGGAAACUACAAGGCUUGAGUGUGGUAGGGGCAGAGGGAAUUCCCGGUGUAGCGGUGAAAUGCGUAGAUAUCGGGAAGAACACCAGUGGCGAAGGCGCUCUGCUGGGCCAUAACUGACGCUCAUGGACGAAAGCCAGGGGAGCG